CCUACGGGAGGCAGCAGUGGGGAAUAUUGGACAAUGGGGGCAACCCUGAUCCAGCCAUGCCGCGUGUGUGAAGAAGGCCCUCGGGUUGUAAAGCACUUUCAGUGAGGAAGAACGCCUGGUGGUUAAUACCCAUCAGGAAAGACAUCACUCACAGAAGAAGCACCGGCUAACUCCGUGCCAGCAGCCGCGGUAAUACGGAGGGUGCGAGCGUUAAUCGGAAUUACUGGGCGUAAAGCGCGCGUAGGUGGCUUGAUAAGCCGGUUGUGAAAGCCCCGGGCUCAACCUGGGAACAGCAUCCGGAACUGUCAAGCUAGAGUGCAGGAGAGGAAGGUAGAAUUCCCGGUGUAGCGGUGAAAUGCGUAGAGAUCGGGAGGAAUACCAGUGGCGAAGGCGGCCUUCUGGACUGACACUGACACUGAGGUGCGAAAGCGUGGGUAGCAAACAGGAUUAGAUACCCUUGUAGUC
rnacentral:rRNA from 1 species